AUUGAACGCUGGCGGCAGGCCUAACACAUGUAAGUCGAGCGGAUGAAGGGAGCUUGCUCCUGGAUUCAGCGGCGGACGGGUGAGUAAUGCCUAGGAAUCUGCCUGGUAGUGGGGGAUAACGUCCGGAAACGGGCGCUAAUACCGCAUACGUCCUGAGGGAGAAAGUGGGGGAUCUUCGGACCUCACGCUAUCAGAUGAGCCUAGGUCGGAUUAGCUAGUUGGUGGGGUAAAGGCCUACCAAGGCGACGAUCCGUAACUGGUCUGAGAGGAUGAUCAGUCACACUGGAACUGAGACACGGUCCAGACUCCUACGGGAGGCAGCAGUGGGGAAUAUUGGACAAAGGGCGAAAGCCUGAUCCAGCCAUGCCGCGUGUGUGAAGAAGGUCUUCGGAUUGUAAAGCACUUUAAGUUGGGAGGAAGGGCAGUAAGUUAAUACCUUGCUGUUUUGACGUUACCAACAGAAUAAGCACCGGCUAACUUCGUG
rnacentral:rRNA from 1 species